rnacentral:rRNA from 1 species
AUUGAACGCUGGCGGCAGGCCUAACACAUGCAAGUCGAACGGUAGCACAGAGAGCUUGCUCUCGGGUGACGAGUGGCGGACGGGUGAGUAAUGUCUGGGAAACUGCCCGAUGGAGGGGGAUAACUACUUGAAACGGUAGCUAAUACCGCAUAACGUCGCAAGACCAAAGUGGGGGACCUUCGGGCCUCACACCAUCGGAUGUGCCCAGAUGGGAUUAGCUAGUAGGUGGGGUAAUGGCUCACCUAGGCGACGAUCCCUAGCUGGUCUGAGAGGCUGACCAGCCACACAGGAACUGAGACACGGUCCAGACUCCUACGGGAGGCAGCAGUGGGGAAUAUUGCACAAUGGGCGCAAGCCUGAUGCAGCCAUGCCGCGUGUAUGAAGAAGGCCUUCGGGUUGUAAAGUACUUUCAGCGGGGAGGAAGGCGGUGAAGUUAAUAACUUCACCGAUUGACGUUACCCGCAGAAGAAGCACCGGCUAACUCCGUGCCAGCCGCCGCAGUAA